rnacentral:rRNA from 1 species
CGGUAGAGAGAAGCUUGCUUCUCUUGAGAGCGGCGGACGGGUGAGUAAUGCCUAGGAAUCUGCCUGGUAGUGGGGGAUAACGUUCGGAAACGGACGCUAAUACCGCAUACGUCCUACGGGAGAAAGCAGGGGACCUUCGGGCCUUGCGCUAUCAGAUGAGCCUAGGUCGGAUUAGCUAGUUGGUGAGGUAAUGGCUCACCAAGGCGACGAUCCGUAACUGGUCUGAGAGGAUGAUCAGUCACACUGGAACUGAGACACGGUCCAGACUCCUACGGGAGGCAGCAGUGGGGAAUAUUGGACAAUGGGCGAAAGCCUGAUCCAGCCAUGCCGCGUGUGUGAAGAAGGUCUUCGGAUUGUAAAGCACUUUAAGUUGGGAGGAAGGGCAGUUACCUAAUACGUAAUUGUUUUGACGUUACCGACAGAAUAAGCACCGGCUAACUCUGUGCCAGCAGCCGCGGUAAUACAGAGGGUGCAAGCGUUAAUCGGAAUUACUGGGCGUAAAGCGCGCGUAGGUGGUUAGUUAAGUUGGAUGUGAAAUCCCCGGGCUCAACCUGGGAACUGCAUUCAAAACUGACUGACUAGAGUAUGG